UGUCGAUGUUAUGAGUGAUUUUACUGCUAAAAUUAGGCAGUUUGGAGCUAGAGCUUCGGGAGGUGCUGCGGUCUGCAUAGCAAUUGGGAAGAACGAGCUGGAAGUAUUUGAAGAACAAAAAGCUGAACUGUCCUGCUUGUGCUGGGACUGCUCUCUCCCCUAGCAGGAGAGAAAACACUUGUCUGUUAAGGACGGUGAAAGGUGCUCUUACAGCAGAAUGAACAACACUGAUGUUAGAGCAUGUGGAAUUAAGCUGAAGGGUUCCUCAGCAGGCUGAAUAGCUUCUGACUCAUUUGCAUCCACUCAAGCUUUGCAAAGCUAACCAGAAGUAUCCACAGAUAUUUUGCAAAUAAAACCUGUGGACUCAAGCCAAGGAGACCAAAGACACUCUGCAAACUCCCUGCCAGAUUUUGGGUAAUGAGGAAUGUUCAUGGAAAGCAAAAACACUGCUCUCGGUCAAGGGAUGUGUUUCAUCUAUUCUGGAGGAUUUGAGUCAUAAUUUGAAGACGCAAGGAAGGCUGCUCUAGGAGUGGAACGGGAGAACAAAACUCUCCCAACAAAGAGCUGCAAAAGGGCCAGUUACUCUGAGCAUCAAGGGUGGUGAGGAAGGGAGUGUGCUCACUAGUCUUCUUGCAACCCACCAGCUCAACAGCACCUGGGCAAGGAAGUGCCUUUCUGUGCCCCUCUAGAAAAAAUGAGGACUGGGAGGGCUGCUGAUCAGCAGUGCUCUCCCAGGAAUACCCUCCCACAUCUGCAUUGCCUGGAGAAUGGGGCUGAUAUGUAGUUGCAAGUCCUCUCUUAGAAGCUGUCCAAGCUAGUGUUCCUCGGGGGCUAGUAGAGGGUGAGGCACAGCAGUGUUGGUAUUUUCUAUAUAUUUUUCUUGUCCAGCAUCACUUUUUUUCUUAAUGGCUCAUUUUCUGCAUUUUUUUUCACCUGCUCAUUAUGUUCUGGUUCUGCUCUUUUCCACCUAGACCCGCAUCCCUCUGGCUAUUUCUCCUCUUUUUUCUUUUAAUUGGGCUGACCAAAACCUUGUCAUAGCCUUGUUAAAUUACAAUAGAGGAAUUGCCCUGCAAAACAAAUGCCACGUGAUAUGUAAAAUCCUGCCUCUCUCCAAGACAAGUUGCUCUUCUGUUGGCCCUGGUGUUGUCAGUGUUGUAUCCUGAGGGUAUGGGGUGUGCUCAGCUUACAUCUAAGGGGAAUUUUACAUUACGGGGUCAGCAGUCAAUGAGACCCAAAUACUGCAUCAGGUGUGAGUCAGUCUAGAGACCUCCAGCAGCUUCUCCCCCCUUUCAGGGCUGCGACCUGAUGCUGCAGUAGUCUAAUCCAUCACAAGAAAAGAACAAGCUUUUUCUGCCUUUUGACAGAAACAGUCAGAUGAUCUGCUCCUGAUAACUACGGAUCUGCUCACGUGGAGAAAACAUCACUGCUAGUUACUCCACAUGCUUCUGAAUCCCUCCAGUGAAUUUGAUCCGUCCCCACUUUUGACCUGUGGCUGGCACUUUUACAGGCAGCUUCCCCUCUGUCAUCUAUGAUGCCUUUAGGUAAUGAUGAGUUGCAUCCAUGCUCGUCAGCCAGCCAGCACACUUGUGCUGAUGGGUCGCCAGCUGCUGCCAAGCACGGCUUAUAACAGGCAGCAAGAACACUUUCUGGACUGCUCUCCUCUCUCCAGAUGCCAAUUUUCACAAAACUUGUACCAAUCUAACAUCCUGGAAACAUCAACUCUUCAGUGAGAUUGAUUGGCGAGUUAAAAUUUAUUAGAGGAGGAUUGAAAAGUACAUGAAUAAUCUGAUCUCUUAAACAUUAUGGCUGUAGUGAAUCAGGCCAAAAAGGAAAAGCUGCAUAUAUUAUACGAGCAAUCAGGAGUUAUUUCUUGUCUUUAUCUCUUCCCACCUCCCCACCCCCUUUUUAUUCCUUUACAGAAGAUCAGAUGUAUUACAGCUUAAAUUCUGUAAUUCUUUGUUGAGGAAUCAGAAUCUAACUUAAUGUUUUCAGUUACUGCUUCUGCUGCAGAAAAUAUCUUAAAUGUAUGCUCUGCCAGAAUUGUGUAACUGCUUUAGCUUGUUAAGACCCCUUGCUCUGAACUUCUCUAAAAUACAACAGCAGAGCUGCAGUUGGUUUCAUUUGUGAGUGACCUGCAAAUCUAUACAGUGUCUGUUACAAAAGUUAUCUCACUUUAUCAGGACAGCAAAGAACAUGUUCUUUGGAGGUUUAAAGAAUGUUAUUUUUGUUAGCUAAUCAAGGUCUAGAUGUUGAGCUUUAGGCUGUUGUCGUUUAGUGUGUUGUAUUUGCAGUGUUACUUAAAACUAGCUAUAAAAAAUGUUUGCUCCUUUUAAGGGGUUGGAUGGCAAAUCCCAUCCCAUCCUUCCACUGGACAUAGUGAGUUGUAAUUGGUAUGAUUACUUUGUCUAAAGGCUCUUCUUCCAUGUAAGGCAUUCAUAAUUUGAUCCACUCGUGUGUCACUGCCUGUCCAUGGGGCACGUUUACUCACAUACAGCACCAAGUUUAUGCACCUUUUAGCCUCUGGACCCAAACUCUGGUGGCUUCUGGCUAGCUUAGACAAGCUCUGUUCUGACUCCUGUCCUCUUUUACAUCAUCCUCCAUGUGUCCUGUACCAUCAAUAUAAGGCAUAACCCCAAAUCAAACUUUUCAAAGCUUACAUGCAUAUCUUCUUGAAUCAAGCCCCUUCCAGGAAGUAUGGGCUUCUUUCCUGAUUUUAACCAAAUACAUUGUGUGCAUCAUCGUUCCCAAAGCAGAAUUAUGAUAUCCCAUGAGCAUGACUGUCAGUCUCAUCUCACUACCUUAGUUCUCUCUGGACAUCAUCCCAGGCUGCCCGUUACUCUUGACCUACCUGUAUUUGGCUAGUAUUUAUCCCAUCUAUGCUUUGUGGCACUAGAGGAUAUUCCUCUCUCUGAUAAUAAUCCCAAUGGAAAAGCUGUCUUUGACUUCUGGCAGGCACAGGCUCCUGAAAUGGCAGUGACAUUCUGUAGCAAAAUGUCAGGGUUUGCAGCCAUUCUUGGAAUAAUUUUCAGUGCAAGUUCUGCUCAGAAUACAGUAACAAAUGGUAAUAAAAGCUGAAUCAGAGAUAAUGAUGCUCUGCAGUCAGUCAAUUCCAAAUUCCACUCUGAUAUGAAUGCCACCCAGUGAAUGUUCAGAUGCCUCACAAGUUUCACAUGCAAAAUCCAAAGUCUUCCUUGAGUUUGAUUUUCAUUUAAUUCUGCAAAUUGCCUGGUUGCUACAAACUGGAAUUCACUAUUGGACAAGUCCAAGAUUUGCAGAGAAUGCCAUGCCAGAAGGAUGUGUUGAUGAAAUGGAGUGGCACAGAAGAUUGAAUCCUGAGUUAAGGCAUGGCACGUGACGUAGCAAAGAAGAAAUGAGCAAAGAAAACCACUGAGCAGCUUCAUUUCUACCUUCCAGUAGUGUAGGCUUCAGAACACUCACCAUGCUUUGACUUCCCCUGCAGGGAGCCUGGUCUAACAGCCAGAGCUGCACUGAUCAUCUCACUGUUCAGAAUAAACAAAGUGGUUUCGAAGUCAUCAGAGUUCCUCUCCCUGUCUUCAUAAGCCCAUCUGAAAAACGGGAAGGUUUGUGCCAAGACAGAAAAAAAAAAUAAAAUCUGUUUAAGUUCUGUUUUUCUGAAUAAUAUGCAAACCUCUUCCCUUUCCUGAAACUCUCGUGUCUUCUAUUCUUUGCUUUAAUUUCAAGCUUUCUUGAAGGUCAUGAAAUGUGUUUGGCUUCUCAGACCUCUCUUGUGGAGUCUAGCAUACACAAAACCAUUUGUCCUGUUUUAUUAAUAAACCACACAAAACAGCCUCCUCCCUCUGAGUUGGAUUCUAUUUGAAAUAUGUACUUUCGAGUUUUAUUUUGUAAACUGAGUGCAUAAAUAUCAGUGGUUGUCGUGUGGAGUGCCUUUGGGAUGAAAGGCAAGAACGCAGCUAUAAUACAUCUUAAAUGAUGAAGUACGUCAGUCUCUGAAGUGCUGUUAGUGUCUAAUUGGAACAUAUUAGGUCAAAACCUUAUUAUUUCAACAAAAGUAAAACGGUGGUACAAGAGCCCUUCGUGUGCAUGUGGACAGCAGUGAGAGGGCAUGAACAAAGAGGAGAGAUGAGCAGGUUUGCAUGCUGUUUAAUGAGGAAAAUGCAGUAUGUGCAUCUUUCUGGCAUUACUGGAAAACAACUCAUUUUUCUAUUGAAUUAUUUCAAAUGACAAAGCAAAAUCGUCUUUUACUGUAAGCAUCUGGAAUUGUUAACCAGUGUGUGUCACAGCUUUGGUAACAAUCGAGAAGCGUGUGAGCUUUUUAUCCCAUAAUCCAGGGUGCUUAGAGGGAGAGAAAGUCUCCUGCAAACCUGAAUUGCUGUGCUGACAUCUGUAACAAAGCUGGGAAGCUCUCAUUUUAAGGCGUCCAUGCCUCAAGAAGGGAAAGAAAGAUAUGUUUCAGUGCUGUUGCUCAGAUUUGCUUUAUGACGAAGUUUUCACAGAGCCGGGAGAUUCCCUUCUGUGCUGAUAAAUAUAGCAUUAACCAAAAACCUCUAAUGAUUCGUCUUAUAGAACAGAUACACAUGACAAGUAAUUUGCAAAGGUGGCAGCUGAACCUACGCAAGACAGAUGUCUCGGUGCUCACUGAAAG